rnacentral:rRNA from 3 species
CCUUGUACACACCGCCCGUCACACCAUGGGAGUGGGUUGCAAAAGAAGUAGGUAGCUUAACCUUCGGGAGGGCGCUUACCACUUUGUGAUUCAUGACUGGGGUGAAGUCGUAACAAGGUAACCGUAGGGGAACCUGCGGUUGGAUCACCUCCUUA